AAUAUAUAUAAUUCUAUGUUAUUUUCUUCAGUUAUACCGUUUCGUUCCAGAGUGCAGUCUGAAGCGUCAUUUCCCACAACUGAUCCUAUGCCUUUCAGGGGUUGAGAAUCUUCAUCCUCAUCACAAGAGCGGCCGGAAACGCACGAUGGCGGCUUCUUCCGGUCCCUGCUCGGCUAGCUGGUCCUCAGCCUGGAGCGGCUCCAGAACUCUUCUCAGGAGUGUGUGAGAGAGACAGAAGCAUCCACUGGCGAGCUAACAGCCAAGUACGGUUCCCACCACAAGGAAGAGGAAAGCAAAUGGAGAUGCCAAGAACGGCCCUCACUUUGGCUGGCCCUGAACUCACUAUGUGGACCAGGCUGGGGCUGGAAUUGAUCUAAGAUCUCACUGCUUCUGACUCCCUGGUAUUCGGAUUAAAAGUGUACUCAACCACAUCCGGACCAACCAUAGAGUUUUGCUAUAGCUACAGACUAACGCGUCUCAAAUCUUGCUGAUAAACGGGGGCAAACGAGCUGUUUAAAUUCACCGCAAUAAAAGUUAAUCCUCUCAAAGU